rnacentral:rRNA from 1 species
UACGGAGGGUGCAAGCGUUAUCCGGAUUUACUGGGUUUAAAGGGUGCGUAGGCGGAUAGGUAAGUCAGGGGUGAAAUCCUGGAGCUUAACUCCAGAACUGCCUUUGAUACUAUCUAUCUUGAAUAUUGUGGAGGUUUGCGGAAUAUGUCAUGUAGCGGUGAAAUGCUUAGAUAUGACAUGGAACACCUAUUGCGAAGGCAGCAGGCUACGCAUAUAUUGACGCUGAGGCACGAAAGCGUGGGUAGCAAACAGG